rnacentral:tRNA from 1 species
CCCUGGGUGGCUCAGUCGGUUAAGCGUCUGACUUCGGCUCAGGUCAUGAUCUUACAGUUUCGUGGGUUUGAGCCCCACAUCGGGCU